rnacentral:rRNA from 1 species
GACGAACGCUGGCGGCGUGCUUAACACAUGCAAGUCGAACGGGAUCCGGGCUUUCGGGUUUGGUGAGAGUGGCGAACGGGUGAGUAACACGUGAGUAACCUGCCCCCUUCUUUGGGAUAACGUCGGGAAAUCGGCGCUAAUACUGGAUAUUCUUGCUGCAUCGCAUGGUGUGGUUUGGAAAGGGUUUCUGGUGGGGGAUGGGCUCGCGGCCUAUCAGCUUGUUGGUGGGGUGAUGGCCUACCAAGGCUUUGACGGGUAGCCGGCCUGAGAGGGUGUCCGGCCACACUGGGACUGAGACACGGCCCAGACUCCUACGGGAGGCAGCAGUGGGGAAUAUUGCACAAUGGGCGCAAGCCUGAUGCAGCGACGCCGCGUGAGGGAUGACGGCCUUCGGGUUGUAAACCCCUUUCAGUAUGGAACAAGGAUCCUUCUUUUGGGGGGUUUGAGGGUACGUGCAGAAGAAGCGCCGGCUAACUACGUGC